rnacentral:rRNA from 1 species
AGAAUCAACCGCUGGCGGCGUGCCUAACACAUGCAAGUCGAACGAGAAAGUGGAGCAAUCCAUGAGUAAAGUGGCGCACGGGUGAGUAACACGUGACUAACCUACCCUCGAGUGGGGAAUAACUUCGGGAAACCGAGGCUAAUACCGCAUAAAAACCUAAGGGUCAAAAGGAGCAAAUCCGUUUGAGGAGGGGGUCGCGGCAGAUUAGUUAGUUGGCGGGGUAAUGGCCCACCAAGACGAUGAUCUGUA